rnacentral:misc_RNA from 1 species
GAUGAAGAACGCAGCGAAAUGCGAAAAGUAAUGUGAAUUGCAGAAUUCAGUGAAUCAUCGAAUCUUUGAACGCACAUUGCGCCCGCUGGUACUCCGGCGGGCACGCCUGUCCGAGCGUCAUUUCAACCCUCAUGCCCUCCUUCGGGAUGGGCCUGGUGUUGGGGCUCGGCCGCCAUCUCCGGCGGCCGUCCCCUAAAUACAGUGGCGGUCACGUCGCGACUCCUUUGCGUAGUAGAAACACCUCGCUCCGGAUAGCAACGCGGUCCACGCCGUAAAACCCCCAAUUUUCAAUGGUUGACCUCGGAUCAGGUGGGAAUACCCGCUGAACUUAAGCAUAUCAAUAAGCGGAGGA